rnacentral:rRNA from 2 species
GUGCGAGACCGAUAGCGAACAAGUACCGUGAGGGAAAGAUGAAAAGAACUUUGAAAAGAGAGUUAAAGAGUACCUGAAACUGCUGAAAGGGAACCGAAUCGUAUCCAGUGUCUAUAAUCCAUGGCAUAUUUCAUUGGCGAGUGAGUGCGUGCAGCGUUUUGGAAGUGGUUUUCCGCUCCUGUCGUUGUUGUGCAUUUGCUUGCUGGUGCCCUGUGCUGUGGUGGGACGUCAGAGUCAGUUUGUAUGUUGCGGGAAAUGGUUAUUGGGGAGGUAGGUCACUUCGGUGGCUGUUAUAUCCUGGUAACUAGUCGUCGUGGCUGAGACUGAGGUGCCUAC